UGCCACUUUAACCCAACCCCUGGUCUUGAAGACCCAGUACCCCUCUGUGGACCCCCAAAAGCUCCCCAGCCCUCCCCGGGAGGCUCCCCAACACACGGACAGGACGCAGCUUUUAAAUGAAAAGGAAACUUUAAUUUCGGUGGGGAAUGAGAAGGGUGAGUGGAAGGGGGGCAUGACACUUUUUCUUUUUUGGGGGGUGACAUGCGGCAGCUUCUGCAUCGGGCGGUUCAUGCACCCAGGGUGGGCGUGGGGAGGCCUGGGGGAGGGGCCUGCCGACCCCUCCCUCCCUGCCCUGGGGGCGGGCUUGAGAAGACCCGCCGUUAGCACCAGAGUUGGACGAUUUGCAGACCUCCCCUCCCCACACUGACUGACUCCGGACACCCGCCCCCAUCCCUGAGAGCGCCCCCUGGCCGCCACCCCCUCCCCCUCCCCCCGGACAGGCCAGGCUCGCCCCGCCCACGUCGGAGGGAGAGAAACUUAUUGCUGUGUGUGCCGGGGAGGGGAGCCGCUGAGCCCGGGAGGACCCCGCCGUCCGUCCCUCUCCCCCGCCCCGCCCCCCGCCCCGUGCCCGUGCGUGCCGAGCGCAGGAGGGCGCCACAUGCGAGUGGGGAGCGUCAUGCAGCGCAUGCGUGCAGUUGCGGGCGCCCUGGCGGCGGGGCGGGGCGUGGGAAAGGGGCGGGGCGGGGCGUGGGAAAGGGGGAGGGGCUGGGGAAGCGAGCAGG